GCAGAGCAUCCUACGGGAGGCAGCAGUGGGGAAUAUUGCACAAUGGGCGCAAGCCUGAUGCAGCCAUGCCGCGUGUAUGAAGAAGGCCUUCGGGUGUAAAGUACUUUCAGCAGUGAGGAAGGUGGGUAUGUUAAUAGCAUACUCAUUUGACGUUAGCUGCAGAAGAAGCACCGGCUAACUCCGUGCCAGCAGCCGCGGUAAUACGGAGGGUGCGAGCGUUAAUCGGAAUUACUGGGCGUAAAGCGCAUGCAGGUGGUUUGUUAAGUCAGAUGUGAAAGCCCGGGGCUCAACCUCGGAAUUGCAUUUGAAACUGGCAAACUAGAGUACUGUAGAGGGGGUAGAAUUUCAGGUGUAGCGGUGAAAUGCGUAGAGAUCUGAAGGAAUACCGGUGGCGAAGGCGGCCCCCUGGACAGAUACUGACACUCAGAUGCGAAAGCGUGGGGAGCAAACAGGAUUAGAUACCCUGGUAG
rnacentral:rRNA from 1 species